GCGGGGCGGGGGUGGAGCCCGCACUCGACUCCCCGUACGCCUGUAGGCUACGAAGGCUACUGCGCCCGGGAGGUCGGUGAGUCCGUUCAACCAUCCUUAAAAUGCCUUGUGAUUCUCUGUCUCCUGUUAAUGGAAAGAGAAGAGAGAAUGGAGAAGGUACUUCUUAAUUGCUAUGGAUGCUUACCCUUGGAACCCAGCCCCCAUGAUGUGAGGAAGCAGAGGCCACAUACAGAAGCCGUGAGCAGCUGUCCUGGCCCCACCUGUGGACUCAUCUGACAGCAUCAGCCACCACACAUGUCAGUGAGUGAGCCUUCGUAUGAUUUCAGUAUGGAGACUUUCGGCCACCCCAGCUAAUGCUGAGGGGAGCAGAGAUGAGCUGUCCCCUCUUAGGCCUGUCCAAAUAGCAAUUUCAUGAGUAAAUUAAAUAUUAUUGUUUUGGGCCACUGCAUUGGGAUAAUUUUUUAAUGUAGCCAU